CCCUUAGAUGUUCUGGGCCGCACGCGCGCUACACUGACGGAUUCAACGAGCUUACAACCUUGGCCGAAAGGUCUGGGUAAUCUCCAAAAUCCGUCGUGAUGGGGAUAGAUUAUUGCAAUUAUUAAUCUUCAACGAGGAAUGCCUAGUAAGCGCAAGUCAUCAGCUUGCGUUGAUUACGUCCCUGCCCUUUGUACACACCGCCCGUCGCUCCUACCGAUUGAAUGGUCCGGUGAAGCGUUUGGACUAUGGUUUUCUGAUGGUCCGCCGUUGGAUUACCGUGGGAAGUUCGUUAAACCUUAUCAUUUAGAGGGAGGAGAAGUCGUAACA
rnacentral:rRNA from 1 species